AAUGAACGCUGGCGGCAGGCCUAACACAUGCAAGUCGAACGGAUCCUUCGGGAUUAGUGGCGGACGGGUGAGUAACGCGUGGGAACAUACCCUUUGGUACGGAAUAGCCUCGGGAAACUGGGAGUAAUACCGUAUGUGGUCGAGAGACGAAAGAUUUAUCGCCAAAGGAUUGGCCCGCGUUGGAUUAGGUAGUUGGUGGGGUAAUGGCCUACCAAGCCGACGAUCCAUAGCUGGUUUGAGAGGAUGAUCAGCCACACUGGGACUGAGACACGGCCCAGACUCCUACGGGAGGCAGCAGUGGGGAAUCUUAGACAAUGGGGGAAACCCUGAUCUAGCCAUGCCGCGUGAUCGAUGAAGGCCUUAGGGUUGUAAAGAUCUUUCAGGUGGGAAGAUAAUGACUGUACCACCAGAAGAAGCCCCGGCUAACUACGUGCCAGCCGCCGCAGUAAUAC
rnacentral:rRNA from 1 species